rnacentral:rRNA from 1 species
UACGUAGGGUGCGAGCGUUUGUCCGGAAUUAUUGGGCGUAAAGAGCUCGUAGGCGGUUUGUCGCGUCGACUGUGAAAACCUACAGCUUAACUGUGGGCUUGCAGUCGAUACGGGCAGACUUGAGUUCGGUAGGGGAGACUGGAAUUCCUGGUGUAGCGGUGAAAUGCGCAGAUAUCAGGAGGAACACCGGUGGCGAAGGCGGGUCUCUGGGCCGAUAUUGACGCUGAGGAGCGAAAGCGUGGGGAGCAAACAGG